GGGCUUCCCAGUUUGGAAGGCUUUUGUGACAGGUGUUCAUUGUUUAUUUCCCCCUUAGGUCUGACAGAAGCACCCUAGGAUCUUGGUGUCUGGAUACAUAAGAGGUAUGAAUCACUUACAUAAUUAGCUCCCAGUCAUUAAUGUUUUAGAGCUAUAUUUAGUGGCUUGUAUUAGUGCAAAAUGAAUGGUUCUGGAGUCAUAAACCCAGAAAUUUAUGUGAUUCUGAACUGAAUGGAACACGUUUGAGUAUGUUAAUGGUGAUUUUUUUUUUUUUUGAUCUGUGAAGCAGGACUGCAGGAUUGUUUAAAUCCAAGACAUGUGGGGCCUUUUCGUGACGAAUACAAUUAUAGAGGGUUUGAGGCUAAUGUGAAAGUUUAUUUGUUUUUACUUACAUGUGUGCUUGAGUAUGUAUGUGAAAGGCGUGGAUGCCCUCGGAGGCCAGGCCCUUUGAAACAGGUGGUUGUGAGCUGACUGCAGUGGUUAGGUCCUAAGAGCAGCACGCACUUUUUACUGCUGAGCCAUCUUUCUAGCUCCAGUGCGAUUUUAUUCUGGAAGGGCCAGCACGUCAUUAAACGGGCUCCACCUUUGAUUAGAACCAAACCUUUUUUGCUAAAACUGGCAUCAGUUUUGUUUUCCUGGAAUAUAUGUGUAGCAUUCUUUUUGAGGACUGUUGCUUUGCUGAAUAGGCUGUAGUUGCUAAGAUAGAUUGUGUGGACAUCCCAUCAGGGUUUGUCCAACAACUUCAAAAGUACAUCAGUUUCUGGAAGUUCUUUUUGAGAUGGUAAACCCAUUAAUGACAGUUGUAGAAGAGGAAAAAAGAUGAUACUGCCUCAGCCUUCUGAGUAGUUGUGUUACAGGCAGCAGCACUAAGUUUAGCAGGGAGGAUACUGUUUACUCCGUUUCCUGGUGUUUCCUGGUGUCUGCUCUCCCCACUCCCCAGUCGUUUGUCACUAGUUUAGGUAGAGGAUGGAGUAGUUGAGAUUUUUAAACGUUGUUAGAACAGCAGUGCUUGUUUUGGUUAUGGGAUUAGGCAGGAAAAGUGAUAAUUUAUAUGUUUCAUUUAAGUACGGUUGUAAUCAGAUGAAAAUAUUACGUGGCAGUGUAGUUUUGAAAACAAAGUUGAUAAGCUUCAAGCUGAUGGAGCGCUAUGAUUGAUUUCUUAGCCCAGGCCAACCAGUAACAGAAAUUGAAAUUUUAAUUUAGAAUUAGUUUGAGAAUUUAAUUUAGAAUUAGAAUUAGUUAUAUAAAUUCCUAUAUUGGCAUUAAAGUAGUUUCAUAGAUAGUAGAAAGAAAAUCUCAUGUCCUAUGAAGUGCUUGGUUCUGUUAUCAGAUAUUAGCACUAACAUAGUUCAACAUGUUUAGUUUGCCCCUAAUAACCAUGUAAUACCAGUUUCCCAAAUGAUUCUUUCUUUUUUUAAAAAAAAUAAUUUAUUUUUAUGUUAUGCAUUAGUGUUUUGCCUGAAUGUCUGUCUGUGUGAGGGAUCAGAUCCCCUGGAACUGUAGUUGUGAGCUGCCACGUGGGUGCUGGGAAUUCGACCCAGGUCCUAUGGAAGAGCAGCAGCCAGUGCUCUGCCGAGUCAUCUCUCCAGCCCCAAAUGUUUAUUUUUCAAAUAUCGAUUCUUCUGUGAAUAAGUGUUGGGGCUUGGGGAUGUAGCUCAGUUGGUAAAGUGCUUGCUACUAUGCCUGAGGCCCUGGGUGCAAUCCUGGAUGUGGUGCCAAAUGCUUGUAAUUUAUUUGUGCAGGGGAAUCAGAAGUUAAAGGCAUCCUCAGCUACAGACUUAGUUUAGGGAUGACCUGGGCUACAUGAGACUCUGUC
rnacentral:lncRNA from 1 species